AACUUUAAAUUUUAUAUGUAAAUCCAUUUUUAAUUUGCUUAACCCUUUCAACAAAUUAGUCCUUUUAUAUUUUUAAGUCACACAUCUCUCUAUUUUGUGUAACAAUUUAGAUUCAUUUCUACUUGGUAGCGAGAAAUAACACUAUACGCUUUUAGCAUCAUCGUCGGAACUCUUUCUGAUGAACCAAAACAUUUUCUGAUCUCACCUCAUCUAAACUGAACUGAGUUUACAAUCGAUAACUCGUCGAAUCUCAUCAUUUUAGUUAUACAACCAAUCUAUUAAACAAAAACUCUUAUGGAGAUACAUGAAAACUCUUCUUUAUAAA
rnacentral:lncRNA from 1 species